rnacentral:rRNA from 1 species
AGCUCGUAGGCGGUUUGUCGCGUCUGCUGUGAAAUCCCGAGGCUCAACUUCGGGCUUGCAGUGGGUACGGGCAGACUAGAGUGCGGUAGGGGAGAUUGGAAUUCCUGGUGUAGCGGUGGAAUGCGCAGAUAUCAGGAGGAACACCGAUGGCGAAGGCAGAUCUCUGGGCGGUAACUGACGCUGAGGAGCGAAAGGGUGGGGAGCAAACAGGCUUAGAUACCCUGGUAGUCCACCCCGUAAACGUUGGGAACUAGUUGUGGGGUCCUUUCCACGGAUUCCGUGACGCAGCUAACGCAUUAAGUUCCCCGCCUGGGGAGUACGGCCGCAAGGCUAAAACUCAAAGGAAUUGACGGGGACCCGCACAAGCGGCGGAGCAUGCGGAUUAAUUCGAUGCAACGCGAAGAACCUUACCAAGGCUUGACAUACACGAGAACGGGCCAGAAAUGGUCAACUCUUUGGACACUCGUGAACAGGUGGUGCAUGGUUGUCGUCAGCUCGUGUCGUGAGAUGUUGGGUUAAGUCCCGCAACGAGCGCAACCCUCGUUCUAUGUUGCCAGCACGUAAUGGUGGGAACUCAUGGGAUACUGCCGGGGUCAACUCGGAGGAAGGUGGGGAUGACGUCAAAUCAUCAUGCCCCUUAUGUCUUGGGCUUCACGCAUGCUACAAUGGCCGGUACAAUGGGCUGCGAUACCGUAAGGUGGAGCGAAUCCCAAAAAGCCGGUCCCAGUUCGGAUUGAGGUCUGCAACUCGACCUCAUGAAGUCGGAGUCGCUAGUAAUCGCAGAUCAGCAACGCUGCGGUGAAUACGUU